GACUGGGAGAUGGUAAGAUUUCUGGGCUUCUUGAAUGGAAGACAUACAUAUCUUUCUUCUUUUUAGCACCCCCAGGUGGGUAGUAGAUCCCAAAAGAAGAAUGGCUAUAUGGUUUCCCAGAGAUUCAUUGUUCUACACAACCAUGAGAGCCACAAGCCUGCAGAGGGUUAGAGACAAUGGCAUAAUGGGAGUUUCUGUGGUAGCUAGCACAGAUGCUUUAUGGUUGGAGUCUCUGGGAUGCCUUGGUAGCAGAUAAUACCAUGGCAGUCAUUACAGUAAAGGUUUAAUUUUAAACCAGCUUGACCACUUGAGAAUUCAGCUUUGAAAUCAACAUAUUGGACUCUUUCUUACUAUGAUUUUAAGCUAAGAUUUCUGUGCACUCUAUGGAAAUCUUCCCAUACAUGCAACUAUCCCUACAGUUUGGCAUUCCUAAACUACCAAGAUUCAGACUUGGAAAGGAAUCUCAAGCCUCAUCAAUAAGAGACCCUGACUUCACAGUAAACUGUCAAAUCCUUUGCAGUUGCAGGUAUCACCACUAAAGGCUCCCUAAAGAAGAAAUUUCAGUCUUGGCGAUUGGUCUCCUAAAAAAGCCUAGAUCACUGAACAUAUACUUUGGUUAGAUGAGGUAGAAAAUGUUGUUGAUUGGUAUUUGGAAAAGUAAAAGGAAAGAAGAAAUAAAAAGGGGAGGUGGGGGAAGAAAAUGAGAAUGUAAAUAAAAAUCUACAUUAAACUUUGAGUUUUAAAAACAGGACAUCACAAACUGUUUCUUCCCCAUGGUACCAGGCUGUCUUAGCAUAUCUGCCUUUGUUCCUGGCAUCUUUGGGGAGAAUUAGAGGAAUUCUGAAUGCCUUCUGGGAUAGUAAUACCAAAAGUAAUUGACUUUCCUUUAGCAGACUCUAAGCAAAUGCAACCUGAAAUUAGGCAUGGUUUUUUACUCAUAGACAUAUUGGCAGUGUCUAUUCCAGAGAUAUAGUAGAUAACAAGAAUUUUGUUGAGUGAAUGUCUGAACCAUAUUUUCAAUCUCUAGAUAGUAACAAUGGGAAGGAGGUAGACAAGAUGAAGAAGAUGAAUAAUUUAAAUGAGAAAUGGUAAGAAGUAACCUAAUACAGUUUUCUCAACACCAGGAAAAUUUCAGUUAUGUGUCUUUUCUCCACAUUUUCUUAGGGACUUUGGUGGAGACUGUGGAUCUCCUGGUUUCAAGCACUGAUCUUGCACUUAUGAGUUUUGUGACUCUGUGCUUUCUGGACCUGAGUUUCCUCUGUAAUAAACUAGUUAUAAUAGCAUUGUUGUGCAAACUAGAAACCAGAUAAAACAGUACCUGUAAAAAUAUGCUGUAAACUGAAAAAUAUUGUAUGGUGCUAGGGCGUUAUCACAAAUAUGACAGUGCUGCUUUCUCUGUGGUUGAAAUAAAAGACCUGAUAAAACAAAUUCCUUUUGUUAGGAGCUAAAUAUCUAUUUGUAUUGCACUUAACACACACAUACACACACACACACACACACAGACUCCCUCACUCGCACAUACAUUGGUACAGCACACACAUCCCACCCCACACACAUACCACACACACAUCACAACUCUGGAAACAUUAAAUUAAAUUUCUUUCCAUAUGGCUCAGAACAUCUGGUGAUUAACAGUUAAAUAAAAUUAAUGAGGCCUUCCAUUUUUAUUAGUCACAUAGUCAUCCAUUGGAAGCAAUAGCUUUUUCCAAAAGAUCUGUUUUCUAGUUCCCUUAAGUUCCAAGUUUCCCUGGCUGACCUGACUUUGAACCUUGCUCCCUUAUAGAUAAAGGAUAAAUAUUUGGCUUACUCUAAAGGAGCUAAGCUUUCCCUAUGCAUCUAAUUGCAAGCCUCCCAUUCAUCCCUGCUGUGCUUGCUGUAAAUCAGAGGACUUUUAGCUUUGAUGUUCACUGCUUUUUAUUUCUUUAUUUCUUUUUGUGUACAAUACCUAAUGCCCUAAUUGUGUGUAUGUGUGUGUGUGUGCGUAUGUAUGUGUCUGUGUGUAUUAUGUAUGACAAGCUUGUUCUAUAGUGCAUGCUAAUGACUUUUUUAGCCAUGGGCAUUUUAUUGUAGUAGCGUCAUGUUCAAACUGAGAAAUAAUUUAUAUUCCCCAUGCCCUGGCAACAUUCAUUGCUACUAAUAUGGAAAUAGUGUGGAAUUGGACAUUUUCUUGUGACAUAUUGCUUAAUAAAUUAUAAACAUUAUCCUAUCAGAACUGACAUUGGUACAUAAAUGACAACAUAAAUGACCAUUUGCAAUAUCAGGUGGCUUAUGGUUCAGCAUGAAUAUUUAUUAUGAUUUAAUAUGAAUACUCAAUAUCCUAUAAAAGGUUGUAUAUGUCAUUACCAGUAAAAUUAAAGGUUCUUUGGUGAUUUUAACAUUUAGAAGUCAUAGAGUUUAAUAGCAUCACUAGGAUCUUCAUAUUCUAAAUGAUUGAUUUUAAAGCUCCAUAGGUUUCAAGAGGUGACUAGCAAACUCAUUUCAAUUGCAUUAAACUACAAAGAAAAUGUAUCUUUAGAACACCAUCUGGCUACUUAUCAAAACAGAUAAGAACAUUUUCACAUACUGUUUCAAAUGAAAUGAAUGCAAAGUAAAAAUUAUUUCCUUAAUAUAGUAGGUAAAAAUAUAUGCUGAUUAUUUUUCUGACUUUUAAAAUUCUUUCUUCUCCAUUUAACCACAAGUGUUAUUUUACAAUUACUUGCACCUAAAAAGCUAUUUUAAAAUCCUCUAACUCAUUUGCCCAUUUUCUAGAUGUGGAAACUAGUCUUUGAAGAUAAACAACUUGCCCAUGGUUUUAUUUGCUUGGUGGUAGAACCAUGAAAUGCAGCUUUCUGGAGUCUCUACACUUCCGUUGUUCUGAAAGAAGAAAUGGAUUUGGCAAUAUUACAAGUGUCUUAGACCUACUAAUUUAACCAAUGUUUAAGUAAUUUGUAUGUGUUCAUGGGUGGCUCAAUAUAAUAAAACAACAAUGACUACAAUGUGUAAAAUACUCUAUUGAGGACUUUCCACAUUCAGUAUAUUCCUAACUUCUUAUAAUCACUAUGUAAAACAGAUUAUCAAUGCUCUCAUUUUCCUGGUGAGGAAAUUUAAGCUUAGAGCAGUUUAACAAAUUGUUUGUAGUCAGACAGCAAGUAAUAGCAAUGCUGUGACUCAAUCAUAGGACCAGUAGUUACAUAGGUGAUACUCUUUAUACUGCACUAUUUUUUGUCUUGUUAAUCCAGAGCCAUUAAUAAUUUCAGUGUUUAGGGAUCCCAGGGUGGCUCAAUGGCUAAGCAUCUGCCUUCUGCUCAAGUCAUGAUCCCAGGGACCCGGGAUCAAGUUCCACAUCGGGUUCCCUGCAUGGGGCCUGCUUCUCCCUCUACCUGUGUCUCUGCCUCUCUCUCUGUGUCUCUCAUGAAUAAAUAAAUAAACAUUUUAAAAAUAAUAAUAAUAAUAAUUUAAGUGUUUAUAAUUACCUUGGGAAACUGAAGCUUUCUGUGGUUAUGUUACAGAGAGUCCCUGUAUCCAUGUGAAAAAAAAUAAAAUAACCUGAGCCUCUUGCCCUAUGUUCUGGAAUCUUGAGUUAUGCCUGCUAAUGAGAAGUUGUAGGGGGUGCAAUCACCCCUAUGUAGUUGAUACUGGCUUGACUGAAGCUGCAGAAAAUAGGUGACAGAAUUUCGAGGAGGCGAUGUUCAGUGAUUUUCCAAAUUUGCUUUCUUAAACUAUAAAGACUGAACACACAGUUAAAAGAGCUGUGUAAACUAAAAAUGGCAACUAGGGCCUUUUAGCAAUAAUGCUGUUACACAGAGGAAGGUCUAGAGAGAGAGUAUUAAGAUUUCCAUCUUAUGGUGGGGAUGGAGGUAGAAAAAAUAAAUAUUCAAGCCUUUAAAGAGAAAAAAAUAAUUCUGCAUCUGUGUUGUUGUCCACUGAGUUUUGAAUACCAGAAGUUCUGGGUUUUAGGUCGUGAGCUAAGGAGAUGGCUUGAAGGAUGGUGUAUUAGUAAUCUAUUUCUAGAUUUAGAGGCUUAAAAUAGCAAUGCUUAUUAUUUCAGUUUGUGUGGGUUAAGAAUUCUGGUGCAGCUUAGGUGGAAGGUUUCUGGUUCAGGGUUGCUAAUGCGGUUGUAGUGGAGAUGUUGACUGGAGCUGAAGUCAUCUCAAGGCUUGCCUGGGGAACAAGGGCUCCCUCUCAUGGCUGUUGGCUGGAGGCCUCAAUUUCUUAACCAUAAAGGGCUUUUUCAUAGAUCUGGUUGAGUGUUUUUACUAGAUGGCAGUUGGCUUCCCCUAGAAUGAGUGAACUAAGAAAGAGAGUGCCAGGUGAAAACUACAAUGCCUCUUAUCUAAUCUGGGAGGUCAGACACUCACUCACACCAGAUUCUAUUCAUUAAAAGUGAGGCACUAAGUCACACUCAAAGGGAGGGGAAUUAGGCUCCAGCGAUUGAGAGACAAACUAAAAAAAAAAGGAAUUGUGGACAUAUUUGAUGUCCACAGAUGAGCCACUGUGUGUAUGUGAUUUAAUGCUUCAAAAUAGAAGGAACUUGAGACAGCGCCAUGUCCCAAAGCCUCAUUUGACAUAAAAUCUAAUUAAGACUGAGUUGCAAUGAUUUCAUAACACAUGACUGUUGGUGGAAGAGCUAUGGCAAAAACUCUAUUCAUCUGGAUCCCAGACUCCUGCUUUUUUUCAUUUCCAAAUAUAUGAGCUUUAAAAUAUGUUUUUAAAGUCUGUUCUUCCUAUAUAUUUGGAAUACAGUGAAAGUUUGCUAAAUUUGUUUUAAAAAGGCCUUGAAAACGUCAUGAGAAGUCUCCACAGUCAGACUGUAAGGCUAAUGCUGCCAGAGUGAGGAGUGACAAUACAUCGCUCCUUGCCUGUUCUCUAAGUGAAGAGGCAUUCAACAAGGCUGACCAACACAGCACAUGGUGCUAAGAUAACAAACAAAAAUGUGCCUCCUCCGUUGAAGCAUUUCCUGACUUCACUUCCCCCAGCCUGUCAAACUAGUGGCCCCUUCCUCUGUGUUCUCACUGUAUUUAUCCUGUUUCAGGACCUCUAACACUUUGUAUCACCUCUCUUUCUACGUAUCUGCUGCUUCUGCCUUCCAGGACCUCGGCUAUGUCCUCCUACUCAUUGUGUAGUUUCAUGAUAGACAUAAUGAUAGACAAUAACAAUGACAACAUUGUUUUAUGGAAUUAUUAAGUGCACAUUAUUUUUAAAAAUACUUAACAUUGAUCUAGCCCUUAAAAAUGAGGCAAGUUUGCUUUUAAUAGAAUUAUCUACCGUAUGAUUACAGGUUCCACUUUACCACUUCCCAGCCAGACUCUACAUUUUAACAACUUGUUUAUUGAGAUACAAUUGACAAAAAAAAAAAAAAAAAAAA
rnacentral:lncRNA from 1 species